GCAGAUUGCUAAAUUUAGGAUAUGCAUUCUCCAUCUUCUAAAAUAUUCGUGUGGUUGUUGCUGCAAACGCAUGAAAGACAAAAUCAUAAUUUUGCCUCUAAAUACUUGUGAAGAUGCAGGUAUAUGUUAUACAGGAAGACUACGACGAAGAGAAGCCCUAAGUAAAUGAACUAUUCCAAACGAUGCAGUUUAAUGCAUACCCAGAAUCUACUUCCACACUGAUGGAGCUAAGGUCAGGAGCUGUGCUGGACUGCAUAUGAGCAUCAACCCAAGAAUGGCGUGGAAAAGAAUACGACGGUUUGCUGGAGGGUUCUAUUCCUUCUUUUUUUAGAACAUCAAACACUUGGUCUUGCUGAAUGAGACAAGGGUCCGGAAUGCUUUGUGAAUCUAAUUACAAAAAAACACCGUAUUAUAUUUUGAAGGUGUCAAAAGUAUACAUAACCAAACCGAAAUAUAGUUCCCCAGCCCUACAAAGGCUAUAAUGAUGGGAAUAUCAUGUAGAA